ACUCCUACGGGAGGCAGCAGUGGGGAAUAUUGCACAAUGGGCGCAAGCCUGAUGCAGCCAUGCCGCGUGUAUGAAGAAGGCCUUCGGGUUGUAAAGUACUUUCAGCAGUGAGGAAGGCGGGUACGUUAAUAGCGUAUUCGUUUGACGUUAGCUGCAGAAGAAGCACCGGCUAACUCCGUGCCAGCAGCCGCGGUAAUACGGAGGGUGCGAGCGUUAAUCGGAAUUACUGGGCGUAAAGCGCAUGCAGGUGGUUUGUUAAGUCAGAUGUGAAAGCCCGGGGCUCAACCUCGGAAUUGCAUUUGAAACUGGCAGACUAGAGUACUGUAGAGGGGGUAGAAUUUCAGGUGUAGCGGUGAAAUGCGUAGAGAUCUGAAGGAAUACCGGUGGCGAAGGCGGCCCCUGGACAGAUACUGACACUCAGAUGCGAAAGCGUGGGAGCAAACAGGAUUAGAUACCCCUGGUAACACAGAG
rnacentral:rRNA from 1 species